GGCAUGUUAGUUUAAUGGUAAAACAAUGUAUUACGACCACAUAUCUAUAAGUUCAAAUCUUAUACAUGUCU
rfam:Aspergillus ustus strain 3.3904 ATSC_27, whole genome shotgun sequence.